AUUGAACGCUGGCGGCAGGCCUAACACAUGCAAGUCGAACGAGCGGCGGACGGGUGAGGAAUGUCUGGGAAACUGCCUGUUGGAGGGGGAUAACUACUGGAAACGGUAGCGAAUACCGCAUACCAUCAGAUGUGCCCAGAGGGGAUUAGCUAGUAGGUGGGGUAACGGCUCACCUAGGCGACGAUCCCUAGCUGGUCUGAGAGGAUGACCAGCCACACUGGAACUGAGACACGGUCCAGACUCCUACGGGAGGCAGCAGUGGGGAAUAUUGCACAAUGGGCGCAAGCCUGAUGCAGCCAUGCCGCGUGUGUGAAGAAGGCCUUCGGGUUGUAAAGUACUUUCAGCGGGGAGGCGUUACCCGCAGAAGAAGCACCGGCUAACUCCGUGCCAGCAGCCGCGGUAAUAC
rnacentral:rRNA from 1 species